rnacentral:rRNA from 1 species
GUGCCAGCAGCCGCGGUAAUACGUAGGUGGCAAGCGUUGUCCGGAUUUAUUGGGUUUAAAGGGUGCGUAGGCGGUGACCUAAGUCAGUUGUGAAAUACUUCAGCUUAACUGGAGAGGUGCAAUUGAUACUGGGUUACUUGAGUACUGAUGAGGUAUGCGGAAUGGACGGUGUAGCGGUGAAAUGCUUAGAUAUCGUCCAGAACACCGAUAGCGAAGGCAGCAUACUAAGGAGUAACUGACGCUGAGGCACGAAAGUGUGGGGAUCAAACAGGAUUAGAAACCCGCGUAGUCC